GUAAGUUUUAUUUGUGACGCGAUUUCGUUUAUCUUCCGCAGAAACUGUUAAGCUCACAAUGCUGAUAUGUUGUUGUCGGCCACGUGUGUAGAUUGACACCGCGAUCGUGGAACACAUGGCUGAUCUGCCUCGAAUAACUGCAAGCCGGCGCGUGCGUAGUGCCGUGGAGAACAAUCAGAAGUCCUGGACGACAAAGAAAAAAACUUCAAAGCUGCUUCUAGUAGUGGUGCCCCUGGUGUGCACCUUUACCCCAAAUGUCUGCACCUUUGCCUACCGGUAAUGACAUAGAAUGUGCUCAGCUUCCUGGACAUAGGCAUGCAGGUUACGAGACGGAAAACGUGCAGCUUAGACUUCAUGCUUGCAAAUGCGAAAGUCGUAACCGACAUAAUUAGAGUAAGCUAAAAGGAGAAAUUUCUGCUUAUGAGCAAGUAAUUAUGAAGCAGGUUUUACUCCUCUUAAACUAGCAGACAUGCAACAACACAGUUGUGCUAUGUUUGUUUUGUGCGCCACUUUCAUGCAUAUUUGUGCUUGCAGUGGAUAUGCAUAUACAUGAAGGAUUUGUUUUUGUUUUCCUCAGCUGCCUCUGCGAACCCCGCUCUUGGACAACAGCUGGGAGGCUCUGUAUUUAAACGCGUGCACCUUGGACGUCAUGCUCCUGCCUCUGCAAGCCCUUUUGCUGGACGCCAUGGAAGGCCCUCCACUCGAAAGUGUGCACCUUAGACUACACGCUCAUCAAUACCAAGUUCUCUGUCCUUCUCGGCAUGAUUGU